ensembl:lncRNA
AGAAUUCAGAUGUGUUAGAUUUAAACAUAAGGGAAAGGGCUUUCCUGAUUUUAGGCAUUAGCAAUGUGUUCUUCAAAAAUGUUUAGCCUCCUGGGGGACUGAAUGUAUCAGUUAAGAGGUCCUGGGAUUCCCAGUUUAGAUUAUUUCAGAAAAUUUUGGCCCAUUUUUCAUUUAUAGUUACACACGAAAAUACACGUUCCAUUACAUAUAUAGAAGAUAUGUGUUGCUUACAAGUAUAUAACUAGCAGCUCUGAGUCCAAACUUUUAGCAAUUAUAAGUCAAAAUGAAGUCAUGUCUUACAAGUGAACUCAUACAGUUUUCAUGUGUUUGGGGCAGUUUUUGAAUUAUUUGAAGUCUGAAAGAAGUUUUUUGUUUAAUUGAAUCAAUGGUGCUAUAAUACAUACAGGUUAUCUAAUCCAAUGCGAACAAAACUGCGGAGGUAAAAGCCUUAUUCAGAACUGCUCUUCACACAGGCAGAUAAUGUUUUAAUGCAUAUAAGCACAUAUAUUUACAUAUAUGGCAAAAGAACACUGAAAUCAGAAUUUUAACAUUAGCCAGUCUCUUUCAGGCAAGUGUUCAGUGCUACGCUUCUGAAUAAUUGUCUUCCCUUGAGACUGGUAUUUGCUUUAGUUAUCGCUUUAGUUAUUAACUUCUACAAUCCUGUUUUCAAAUGUGACAGCAGUGUUUGGAUCAAGUUCAACUCUGAAUUCAUUCCAGUAAUGCCAGCAUAGUUUGCAUGAUCUUUUCUAUAUUUGUGUGCAGCCGUGGGUUUUUGAUGUAUGCACAAACCAUGUCUAGCAAUAGAUGAAAUUGUGUCUAUCAGUAUUAGUGUCACGGCAUUGAGGGAAUGAUUUCUUAUGUCGCUCAUUUUCUCCAAGACCCUCUGUGAUAGCACGAUGAGAUAAGAAUACAUUGUCAACUGCAAGUCCAAAUUUUCUGCCCCUUUUCUUGUUCAAAAGCAGGCAAUUUUAAUUUGGCAAGCUCUGUACAAAUCCAAUCACCAUUUGGAACUCCAGGAGGAUUGUUCUACCUUGAUGAGUAACAAGAUACAUUGGAAUGUGCUUGGGAUUGUUCUUUCAGCCCUGGCAGAUCAUAAAGUGUGUUUCGAUGGAAGAUCUUGUUCUCAGCUUCUUAGCUGUGUUUGGUUCAUGUCCUCAGUAGCCACAUUUUACAAACUUUGCCUGAAUAGUUGCCUUGACCCUUCAGACCUCUAGGCUGUCCUGUAUGAGCUGGUGUACACCUCGUUGAAUCAGCCGCAGGAUCAGCCACAUUAUGCUCCUGAAGGGACAGCCAGGAGUUGUAUGUUUAACUCUGGAAAAUAACUGAUGUGCCGGGAGAGAGUUACACACUACCACUUGUUUGCAGUGACCAUUCUACCACUGUGAUGCCAGAAGCCUCCUGCCUUCGGAAGUUAUGAAAUAGACUGAUCCUGCGCCACGGUAGUUAUGUGCAACAAAGCCUGAUUUCUAUGGACUUUCAAGGAAGUAAUUGAGCAAAUAAUUCAGCUCUGAGAAUGUGAGAGCAAUGACAAAUCUUACUGGGUUAGAGGCAAUUGUAGGUGACAAGCUGUUUUACAAUGAAGCCACUUGUAUUCAGAACUUCUGAUCCUGGUUGACGAGUGUAAUUUUAGCUACACAGGCUUAAAGUUUUUAAUUUAAAUUCAGGAGGGGCUUACCCACUGAAUUUCUCUUGUGGAAAUGGAUUUCCAGGCUGGGAAAAACUCUAGCUCUUAGGCAGUUUUCCCAUUUACUAAGUAUAGCUGUUCAUUUUAAUUUGCAUAAAGAACAUGGAUAUGUAAGUCUCCAAUUACUUUAAAAGCAGUAUUUCAACAGAUACAGUGAAGUAAUUAGUUUAAUGAGGAAAUGUCAUUACAUAGUGGAAAGCUUGGUUUGCCAAGGAUCAAUUUGUUGACAUUUGAAUCCAACUAGAAAUGAAAUGCACAGAACAAAAAGUAAACGAUUUUAGUAAAAGCCACCUCGUCCGUUUGGAACAAAUGGAAAGUAUGUCUGCUUCUCCACCAGAGGGGCUAAGUAAGGGGGUUUUCUGCAUUAGAAGACUUACAAAUGAUCGUUUAAAAUAUGAAGAGAGUAGGAAAGUUUAUUGUGCAAACGUGGGGAGUCAACAAGUUCCUUUUGUGAAAAGUAGAAUAAUUAUUUCCAGAAUACAUUUUUCAUAUAUAUAAAAUGAGGAUAUUUAUUACUUACAUCUUUUCAGAAUUGUGAAGCCUAAUUCAGAAACAUCUGGUAAUGUCUCUGAAAUUCGCAAUUAGGGCAGCAAAUAUCCUAACUUUUAUAUCUGGAUUUCAUUUGCUUGACUGUUAACCAUUAUUGAUACGCUGUCAUAUAAAUUCUUCGUAUCUCCCAUACAAAUAAAGCACAAGAUAUUGCUCUAAGAACUUUCCUGUCUAUACUGGAGAUUACAGCAGUAAUAAAUCAAGUUAUAACAACGAAAAAUAACUACAUAGGAAAGCAGUAAAGAAUAUAGCCAUGAGAGGUAACAAAACAGUUUCUGUUAUGUACGUAUUUUAUUAGUCCACCCAAAUAGCCGAAAUGGCAAGAUGCCUUUUACCAGGAAGAAGGCAGUCUUCCUCAGUGUACAAAAUGAAUGUGAACACUGCUGAUACAGCAGGCAAAUGUGGAAUUACCUUAAAUGUCUACAACACAGUGAUUUUCAGUUCUUGAAAAUUACAUUCUUGAAGAUUAUACAAUCACUUUACCAACAAAAGCUUGGAUUUAAAAUAUAUGGCCAAAAAUGAAAAUUAUAUUUUGUAUUUUUCUUUGCAUAAUUUAAAUAGCUAGCAUUAAUAUUUAUUGUCAAGAAUCAUUAAUCCCUAUUUUAAUUAAAUGGAAUGGUGGUAUCUAAGAUCAUUCAUGUCAGUGUUGUAUAAACACUCAGAUAUAAGCUAGCAAUGGUUCACUUUGUCCUCUGGAGAUUGUAUAAUCAUGCC